AAUCCUGUGUCGAACUAAAAACAAAACAAAACAGGUAAUAACGGAGCACAUCUCCUUCUGAGGUGACAAUGGCGUGACAAUGACAAAUGCAUAAUGUUUCAUCUCAUAUACAAGUGAUACAGCUGGAUGUGUGUGUGUGGGCACCUACUGUAGACCGUCUUAAUAUUACACUCAUAACUUAUCGGAAACCGCUGCCAGAACCCUGCGUGGAACUAGGACAGAAUACAUCAUUACACACGCCCUCCUUUAAUAGAUAGCUUGCGAUUUGCCAGUCUGGGUCCGGUGCUCCAGCCAACCCGGCCCAUCAUUCCUCACGCAGAUCAACAGAUGGCGGCUCCUUCUCCUUCGCCCCUCUGCCGUCACGGAGUGGUCUGCGGUCUGUCCGCCUGCCUUCGCGAAUCACCCACAGUUUGGAAUCAAAGAAAACCACAGCUCAGCUUAUUCUACUAAUCACCUGACGUGAAACAGCUGGAUUUGGGGUUGCUCUUCUAUCCUUGUAGUCACCUUCCACCACCUGGCUGCAAGUCUUCCAUAGCCUGCCUCGCUUAUAGCCUUGACUAGUGAUGCAUCAUCUGCUCAUUUCCUGUUUGAAAAGUUUUUAUCAUCUCACACUUUUUAGGUAAUCCAUUUUCUCUACUCUGUUUUUCGCACACAUCAAGUAAUGAGAGGAGUAGCCCAGUGUACUAGGAAGUGAACGCUGCGCUGCCAGCUGAUAGAGCCACCUGCCAGGAGAGUGCUGCAGGACUUCGUCCCCAUACUGACUCACCUAAGGGCUCCUGUUCUAUUGAUUCGCCCAUGUGACUUGUGGGAACGACGCAUCCGCUGCAAUCUGGACCAGACAAAGCUGAUGAACAGGGCUCCCAGGCUUUUACUCCACAUCCUCUAAAAUGAGAGCAAAAUAAAAUCAACUGCGCCUGCUCUAUCUGUCAAAGAAGUCACACAAACAGGCCACUGAGGAUGAACGAAGCCGUAGCUGCAUCAGGCUUCGCCCCAGAAUCUGCAGACACUGGCCUUUUUGACGCCCAUGAGCAGUGGAGGGGCCUUUGAGCAGCUCACAGAUCAGAGAAUGAAGGAUUCUAUCCUGUUGGUGAAGUAAACUAUUCCAAGUCUGUGAGGAACCAGAACCUCCGGGCAGACCUGCGACAUGCCAGCGGGAUUAUACAUUCCCUCUGGUCUGGGUUCGCCUCAGGAAGAGCUGGAGGUGGCGUCAUGGGGGCAGGGCGUCUGGGAGUUUGCUUAACCGGGACCCACAUGUCACAGAUGUGAAGGUUGAUUCCUGCUCCACGCUGCAUGGACGCAGGCUGAACGCAUGGGGAGGCAGCUCCUUUGAGACAAUGGCCAGACUCUGCAAAAGCAAAAAGUCAGUAAACCGGAUGGUGAACUUUGAAGCAGCCUCUGUGUGUCCUGUAGGGGGUUACAGACAUUGUCCACUGCAGCCACCAUCCCGUUCUUCCAUCUCGUCCACUGAGUCCACUGCUCUUCCUUAUCACAUUGUCCAGUUUGUUCCUGUCUGAUGUCACAUGCACAAAGUGUAAACAGCAGUGGAACCACGUCCGUUCCCUGUGGAGCCCCUCCCCGACGGACCGCUGUGUUAGACACAAAGCUCAGUCUGUUGGUCUGUUGAUAAGAAGGUCCAAAAUCCAGAGGACAAGACCUCGUGUCUCCAGCGUUGGAUCUGUGUAGGGCGUAGAUGACUGAAUGACCGCCUCAGCCUGAGUGGAGGCAGCCUAAGAUCCGUGGUCCCAACAAAUGACCUAGAUGGGCAACACGGCUUUCAGAGUCUUAAUCAGAUGAAAGGCUGCUGCUAGGCUCCAGCUGGACCAGUCUUGACCUCUUUGGCGGGUUCAGAGUCAGCUGCAGCUUCAUUUUUUUUGAAGAGGGAGAUGAAGUGCAGCUCCAUCACUUCAACAGUGUCAAGGAAAUCGUCAUCAAAAGGAGUCCAUCGUCAUCUGUGAAACGAUAUCGCCACAGAUGCUGGUUUCCUUAUUACCUGACAGGUGAAUCAGGGCUACAUCAUAUCUACAGUAUGAUGUUCUAUAAUAUCCUGCCGUUAUGAGGUAAAAAUCUUUGUCUUUUUAGGUUUUUUUUUUUUCUUAAACCUAUUAAUUUGAAAAUGUGUUAAUAGGACAUUGAUAGGACUAUUUUAGUGAUGGACAUGUAGGUUCAACACUCAUUCUGAAUCACGUUUAGCUGAGUAGAUGUGUAAACAUCAGCAGAAGAGACAGAUACAGUAGCGAGGUCCGUCUGCAGGCUUCAGUCUCUGCAGUUAACUUUAAUGCCAAGUGCAGUACUUUCAUUCCAAACCGUCCCCAGAGUCAUGUUGGCUACAGAACGUAGUGAAGAAAUAAAUGUACGUCCUGCAUAUAAUAACUUGUUACUGUGUCGUCCUGUGAGUACGGAAUAAUAAAGCUGGAUGCUGUUUCACAAAUGUGGCGACUGCGGCCUCAGCAUCUGCACAUUACAGCACCUCUAAAAGUUCUUUUCCCAUUUAAAUGAUUAGCUGUUUAUAUAGUAGAAAACAGUUUAAAUGUUGCACGCAACCAGUGCGAUGGCAGCGAGAUCUGCGCUCUGCCGCGCCAGUGGGAAAAGUGCACAGUCAGCCUUCUGUGGAACCGUGAAUCAACCUCAUUUUGACUACUGGGCGUGCGCUGCUUUGAAAGUCCUGCCAGGCACAUCAGAGGAAGGCCGUCGGCCAAGUUUAACAAGACAGAGCUGUCAUAGCCCUCACACUGACGUGUCUGUUCAGUUAUCAGCUUGGCCUCGAGCUUGUCAUCUUAGAUUCUCCAACGUGAGGUUACUAUCAAAAAGAAGGGAGGGGGGGGGCUAAACAAUCACACCUGACACAGAAAUGUUUAGAGGAUGACAGAAGAGCAAAGAGGCAUUUGCAUCAUUUCCUGACACUUUUCAGAUUUAAGGAACACACCUCACACGUACUGUACAGUACAGUACUGUCACUGCCCGUCCCUGUCUGUUUAAGGCGUUUUCUGCACCUCUUCUUAGGUUUAAUCUGCCCUAUGGAGACGUGUCUGUCUGUCUGUGUGUACAGUAGAUCACGUUUUAGGGAUAUUCUGUUGUAUUGUACUUUAUAUAUAGUGUAUGAUGACUGGGAAUGGCUGAUCGUUUACUCAGAAUAAAGAAAGUGUGUGUACUGUACAUUACUGUAUUUACUGUUACUUCACCUGCAUUAAAAGACCUGUAUUCAAAUAAUAACAGUGUUUCCACUCUGUAUAUGUCCUGAUGUACAGUAGAUUCACAUCCACGUCUGUGUUUUAUCCACUUUGUUCCUAAAGGGUCAUGUUCAGUGUGGGUAAGUUGAAGCUUGUUGGG